rnacentral:lncRNA from 1 species
GUUUUUUUUUCAAUUGUAUUUGAUAAUGUAUACUGACCUUUUACCUCGGACCUGAAUUCCAGGUCUCCACAUAUAUAUCAAAUAUAUCAUAGAUAUAAAUAUCAAAUUUUUAAGUGUUAUAUUAACUUCCAGCACUAUAAAGUAGUCCUAUUUACUCACAAUCAAACACUAUAAUUUUUUAAAAUCGUGAGAGGAGUGGUUUGGCUAUUGCCAUGUUCAGCUCUCAUAAAAUGUUAUAAACUGUUCUUAUAAGAUGGAAAUUUCUAUCAGAACAUUAACAAUUUAUUCUGGGGUUCUGGAAGGCAAAGCUCCAGGUUUAAAGUUUAAAUCUCACCAAAUAACCAAAAUCAAAUUUUCUUUUUCUGUUUUUUUUACCAGGCUAACGGUUUGUGGUCUUCACAGGGAUGUAAUAGAAAAACAUAAGACAUAUUUUCCCAUAGCCUUUGUUGGGAGAUGUUUCCAUGGCUUAUGCAAGGCUUCAGCUUGUCUAUCAUUAAUGAUUUAAUGACCUUUCGUUUCUUAUAUAUCUGGACGGUUUCUGCUAUGUACAGUUCUUCUUUGUUGACUCUUUUUAUAGCUUUCCUCUUGUGCCAUCUGAUGUCUGUUAUUCUCAUAGGCUGUCUUAGCCAAUACUGUAUUUAGAUUUCUCCUCUGUCUUUCUUAUGCUCUAUUAAUCUUUCCUUUAAGUUCCUCAAGGUGGCCCCUAUAUAUUGCUCUGUAUUCCUACUAUCUCUGUUUACUGUCUGGAUACUAUAUACUCUCAUUCCUAGAUCUCUCUUGUAAUGGUCUUUCACAUUCCUGAGAAGGUUGAAAACCGUUGGGGGUCUUUUAAAAGCCGCUUUUUUCUUUCCUUAACCGUAGAACUGCCGCAAAAAAUUACGUCUACUGCGCAGC